UACGGAGGGGGUUAGCGUUGUUCGGAAUGACUGGGCGUAAAGCGCGCGUAGGCGGAUCGGAAAGUCGGGGGUGAAAUCCCGGGGCUCAACCCCGGAAUGGCCUUCGAAACUCCCGGUCUUGAGUUCGAGAGAGGUGAGUGGAAUUCCGAGUGUAGAGGUGAAAUUCGUAGAUAUUCGGAGGAACACCAGUGGCGAAGGCGGCUCACUGGCUCGACACUGACGCUGAGGCACGAAAGCGUGGGGAGCAAACAGG
rnacentral:rRNA from 1 species